AACCGAAUAAGAAGAGGUWAAGCUGAAGAGAGCCGUCUAUUGACAGUUCGUUUCUAUACUUAUGUACUGUCAUGGAGUCGCUCUCUUCAGAUGAUCCUUUCAAGGUUU
rnacentral:miRNA from 1 species